UAACCAUGUCAGAUCUCUGAUUUUCCAAAAAGUGACAACAAACGCCUCUUCCUAAACUAGGUGAAGGGUGCAUCUGAAAGUAACCUUAAACUGAAAAGUGCCCUGUGUGGGACAUGUUAUUUGUUGACAUAUUUAAACUGAAAGCAGUUGCCUCUAAGACGUUUACGCUGUUUACAAUCUAAACUCUUUUUUUUUUCUAUAAGAAAACUGGUAGAACGAGAUGGAAAGGAAAGGGAAGAAAACACUAGGAAUUUUCCUACCGCCUAUCUUUUGCAGAGGAUGGCAACACGACUGGUACAUAUCCCUUUGAGCAGGGGAAAGAGAAUGCAGAUGGGGAGGAAUCACCUUGUUUUUUCCAUCUCCUGGCUUCUUGUCAUCAUCAACGCCGUCACUUAUUUAUAGGACAGCUUUCCAUAGAAAACUACACUCACAAGGCAGUCUACAAGGAGAAAAAUACAUAAUUCACAAGUUACAAAAUAUAACAAAAUGUAAAUGUUAA
rnacentral:lncRNA from 1 species